rnacentral:lncRNA from 1 species
AUAUGACAUUACAAAUCCCCUGCCAAAGCCCUAUAAAUGAACCCAAAUCUCUAGGGUUUCUUCAACAUUGCCAUUGAGAGAACCGAGCGUGCCAUGUCUCUGCCUCUCGGUUCCGUUGCGGGCAUAUACUGAUCGGAGCCUUUUCUUUAUUAUAUGCAUAAGCGAUUUAAUUCGUUAUUCUCUUCUGCUCAAAGAAAGGUCUCACACGUUCUUUACAAUUACGUAUUUAUAUAUUUUGUAUUUUUAUUUUUGAGGGAAAUUGAGUAAUGGCCGUUCCAAUGAGUUCUCAUUUAAUUGUGGGAACUCAAUUUCACCCGGCCUAGAUUAAAUUAAGUUUGGGGGCAGCUUCAAGGUUUAACACGAUUGCCGUCGUGUUUAAUUCAGGAAAACUGCCCUAUAUUUUCUUCUUCUGUCUUGAAAUGAUUUUGUCCGUUUUUAUUUGCUUGUUCCAACAAUUUAUUUGUCUUUUUUAUUGUAUUACUUCUGCUCUGGCAUUUUGAUUUUGUUAAUUUUUUAUUAUAGUAGUGAGAAACUAAAUAAUUUUUUAUUGUCACUUACCAUUGAAAUAAACGUGAAAAGCAUUAAAGAAGGGAGAAGGCUGCAAAAGAAGAGUGAUAUUAACUUGCUUUUUGAAAUAUAUAUUUUUGAUGAGCAUUAUUCAAAUUCAAUUGGUUGUUGAAGAAGAAUUGCACAGUAUUUGUUACCCCCACAAAAUAAUUUCUAGAACAGAAGAUAAUUUUAUAUGAGCUUUUAGAGUUAAUUGUUCCAAUGGUCAUUGAGGUUAUGUUUAUGUCUUCAAUUGUUCUUCGCUGAAGUUUAAUUGUGGC